AGUGAACGCUGGCGGUAGGCCUAACACAUGCAAGUCGAACGGCAGCACAGUAAGAGCUUGCUCUUACGGGUGGCGAGUGGCGGACGGGUGAGGAAUACAUCGGAAUCUACUUUUUCGUGGGGGAUAACGUAGGGAAACUUACGCUAAUACCGCAUACGACCUACGGGUGAAAGCAGGAGAUCUUCGGACCUUGCGCGAUUGAGUGAGCCGAUGUCGGAUUAGCUAGUUGGCGGGGUAAAGGCCCACCAAGGCGACGAUCCGUAGCUGGUCUGAGAGGAUGAUCAGCCACACUGGAACUGAGACACGGUCCAGACUCCUACGGGAGGCAGCAGUGGGGAAUAGUGGACAAUGGGCGCAAGCCUGAUCCAGCCAUACCGCGUGGGUGAAGAAGGCCUUCGGGUUGUAAAGCCCUUUUGUUGGGAAAGAAAAGCAGCAGGUUAAUACCCCGCUGUUCUGACGGUACCCAAAGAAUAAGCACCGGCUAACUUCGUG
rnacentral:rRNA from 1 species